AGUGAACGCUGGCGGUAGGCCUAACACAUGCAAGUCGAACGGCAGCACAGUAAGAGCUUGCUCUUACGGGUGGCGAGUGGCGGGCGGGUGAGGAAUACAUCGGAAUCUACUUUUUCGGGGGGGAUAACGUAGGGAAACUUACGCUAAUACCGCAUACGACCUACGGGGGAAAGCAGGGGAUCUUCGGACCUUGCGCGAUUGAAUGAGCGGAUGUCGGAUUAGCUAGUGGGCGGGGUAAAGGCCCACCAAGGCGACGAUCCGUAGCUGGUCUGAGAGGAUGAUCGGCCACACUGGAACUGAGACACGGUCCAGACUCCUACGGGAGGCAGCAGUGGGGAAUAUUGGACAAUGGGCGCAAGCCUGAUCCAGCCAUACCGCGUGGGUGAAGAAGGCCUUCGGGUUGUAAAGCCCUUUUGUUGGGAAAGAAAAGCAGCAGGUUAAUACCCCGCUGUUCUGACGGUACCCAAAGAAUAAGCACCGGCUAACUUCGUG
rnacentral:rRNA from 1 species